rnacentral:rRNA from 1 species
UACGAAGGGUGCAAACGUUGCUCGGAAUUAUUGGGCGUAAAGCGCACGUAGGCGGCUUUGUAAGUCGGAUGUGAAAUCCCUCGGCUUAACCAAGGAAGUGCAUCCGAAACUACAGAGCUUGAGUACUUAAGAGGAUCGCGGAAUUCCCGGUGUAGAGGUGAAAUGCGUAGAUAUCGGGAGGAACACCUGUGGCGAAAGCGGCUCACUGGACCACAACUGACGCUGAGGCGCGAAAGCUAGGGGAGCAAACAGG